rnacentral:rRNA from 1 species
GAGUGAUGAAGGUUUUCGGAUCGUAAAACUCUGUCUUUAGGGACGAUAAUGACGGUACCUAAGGAGGAAGCCACGGCUAACUACGUGCCAGCAGCCGCGGUAAUACGUAGGUGGCAAGCGUUGUCCGGAUUUACUGGGCGUAAAGAGUAUGUAGGUGGGUGCUUAAGUCAGAUGUGAAAUUCCCGGGCUCAACCUGGGAGCUGCAUUUGAAACUGGGCAUCUAGAGUGCAGGAGAGGAAAGUGGAAUUCCUAGUGUAGCGGUGAAAUGCGUAGAGAUUAGGAAGAACACCAGUGGCGAAGGCGACUUUCUGGACUGUAACUGACACUGAGAUACGAAAGCGUGGGUAGCAAACAGGAUUAGAUACCCUGGUAGUCCACGCCGUAAACGAUGAAUACUAGGUGUCGGGGGGUACCACCCUCGGUGCCGCAGCAAACGCAUUAAGUAUUCCGCCUGGGGAGUACGGUCGCAAGAUUAAAACUCAAAGGAAUUGACGGGGACCCGCACAAGCAGCGGAGCAUGUGGUUUAAUUCGAAGCAACGCGAAGAACCUUACCUAGACUUGACAUCUCCUGAAUUACUCUUAAUCGAGGAAGUCCCUUCGGGGACAGGAAGACAGGUGGUGCAUGGUUGUCGUCAGCUCGUGUCGUGAGAUGUUGGGUUAAGUCCCGCAACGAGCGCAACCCUUAUUGUUAGUUGCUACUAUUAAGUUAAGCACUCUAACGAGACUGCCGCGGUUAACGUGGAGGAAGGUGGGGAUGACGUCAAAUCAUCAUGCCCCUUAUGUCUAGGGCUACACACGUGCUACAAUGGCUGGUACAACGAGCAGCAAACCCGCGAGGGGGAGCAAAACUUGAAAGCCAGUCCCAGUUCGGAUUGUAGGCUGAAACUCGCCUACAUGAAGUUGGAGUUGCUAGUAAUCGCGAAUCAGCAUGUCGCGGUGAAUACGUUCCCGGGUCUUGUACACACCGCCCGUCACACCAUGAGAGCCGGUAACACCCGAAGCCCGUGAGGUAACCGUAAGGAGCCAGCGGUCGAAGGUGGGAUUGGUGAUUGGGGUGAAGUCGUAACAAGGUAGCCGUAGGAGAACCUGCGGCUGGAUCACCUCCUUUCUA